rnacentral:rRNA from 1 species
GCGUACGGGUGCGGAACACGUGUGCAACCUGCCUUUAUCUGGGGGAUAGCCUUUCGAAAGGAAGAUUAAUACCCCAUAAUAUGUUGAAUGGCAUCAUUCGACAUUGAAAACUCCGGUGGAUAGAGAUGGGCACGCGCAAGAUUAGAUAGUUGGUGAGGUAACGGCUCACCAAGUCUACGAUCUUUAGGGGGGCCUGAGAGGGUGAUCCCCCACACUGGUACUGAGACACGGACCAGACUCCUACGGGAGGCAGCAGUGAGGAAUAUUGGACAAUGGGUGAGAGCCUGAUCCAGCCAUCCCGCGUGAAGGACGACUGCCCUAUGGGUUGUAAACUUCUUUUGUAUAGGGAUAAACCUACCCUCGUGAGGGUAGCUGAAGGUACUAUACGAAUAAGCACCGGCUAACUCCGUGCCAGCAGCCGCGGUAAUACGGAGGGUGCAAGCGUUAUCCGGAUUUAUGGGUUUAAAGGGUCCGUAGGCGGAUCCGUAAGUCAGUUGGUGGAAAUCUCACAGGCUUAACUGUGAAACUGCCAUUGAUACUGCAGGUCUUGAGUGUGGUUGAAGUAGCUGGAAUAGUAGUGUACGGUGAAAUGCAUAGAUU